rnacentral:misc_RNA from 1 species
AUCUAAUAUGCAAAAUACAAUUAACUAUAUAGCACAAUCUGUACACUAAAGAUUAAUAAGUGAAAAUAAAAAUUAGCGUGAGGGGAGUGUCCCACAAUGGUUUGGGAUAAAGUAUUUGUGAUAAAUAUAAGAGUUGGACAAAUCUCCUCCUUUUGAGUUAACUUUUGGAGUGGACUUAAGCCCGUCCAUUUUUUCUAUAUUGCUCAUCUAAAACAUAACUCCGCGCUAAGUAGUUUGCGCUUAGCCGG